UACGUAGGUGGCAAGCGUUGUCCGGAUUUACUGGGCGUAAAGAGCGCGCAGGCGGUCGAUCAAGUCGCGUGUGAAAGCCCCCGGCUCAACUGGGGAGGGUCACGCGAUACUGAUCGACUCGAAGGCAGGAGAGGGUAGUGGAAUUCCCGGUGUAGUGGUGAAAUGCGUAGAUAAUCGGGAGGAACACCAGUGGCGAAGGCGACUACCUGGCCUGUUUCUUGACGCUGAGGCGCGAAAGCUAGGGGAGCAAACGGG
rnacentral:rRNA from 1 species